UACGUAGGGCGCAAGCGUUGUCCGGAAUUAUUGGGCGUAAAGAGCUCGUAGGCGGCCUGUUGCGUCCGCUGUGAAAUCCCGGGGCUCAACCCCGGGCCUGCAGUGGAUACGGGCUGGCUAGAGGCAGGCAGGGGAGAACGGAAUUCCUGGUGUAGCGGUGAAAUGCGCAGAUAUCAGGAGGAAGACCGGUGGCGAAGGCGGCCUGCUGGGCAGUUACUGACACUGAGGCGCGACAGCGUGGGGAGCAAACAGG
rnacentral:rRNA from 1 species